rnacentral:rRNA from 1 species
UGCAGUCGAGCGAACGGACGAGAAGCUUGCUUCUCUGAUGUUAGCGGCGGACGGGUGAGUAACACGUGGAUAACCUACCUAUAAGACUGGGAUAACUUCGGGAAACCGGAGCUAAUACCGGAUAAUAUUUUGAACCGCAUGGUUCAAAAGUGAAAGACGGUCUUGCUGUCACUUAUAGAUGGAUCCGCGCUGCAUUAGCUAGUUGGUAAGGUAACGGCUUACCAAGGCAACGAUGCAUAGCCGACCUGAGAGGGUGAUCGGCCACACUGGAACUGAGACACGGUCCAGACUCCUACGGGAGGCAGCAGUAGGGAAUCUUCCGCAAUGGGCGAAAGCCUGACGGAGCAACGCCGCGUGAGUGAUGAAGGUCUUCGGAUCGUAAAACUCUGUUAUUAGGGAAGAACAUAUGUGUAAGUAACUGUGCACAUCUUGACGGUACCUAAUCAGAAAGCCACGGCUAACUACGUGCCAGCAGCCGCGGUAAUACGUAGGUGGCAAGCGUUAUCCGGAAUUAUUGGGCGUAAAGCGCGCGUAGGCGGUUUUUUAAGUCUGAUGUGAAAGCCCACGGCUCAACCGUGGAGGGUCAUUGGAAACUGGAAAACUUGAGUGCAGAAGAGGAAAGUGGAAUUCCAUGUGUAGCGGUGAAAUGCGCAGAGAUAUGGAGGAACACCAGUGGCGAAGGCGACUUUCUGGUCUGUAACUGACGCUGAUGUGCGAAAGCGUGGGGAUCAAACAGGAUUAGAUACCCUGGUAGUCCACGCCGUAAACGAUGAGUGCUAAGUGUUAGGGGGUUUCCGCCCCUUAGUGCUGCAGCUAACGCAUUAAGCACUCCGCCUGGGGAGUACGACCGCAAGGUUGAAACUCAAAGGAAUUGACGGGGACCCGCACAAGCGGUGGAGCAUGUGGUUUAAUUCGAAGCAACGCGAAGAACCUUACCAAAUCUUGACAUCCUUUGACAACUCUAGAGAUAGAGCCUUCCCCUUCGGGGGACAAAGUGACAGGUGGUGCAUGGUUGUCGUCAGCUCGUGUCGUGAGAUGUUGGGUUAAGUCCCGCAACGAGCGCAACCCUUAAGCUUAGUUGCCAUCAUUAAGUUGGGCACUCUAAGUUGACUGCCGGUGACAAACCGGAGGAAGGUGGGGAUGACGUCAAAUCAUCAUGCCCCUUAUGAUUUGGGCUACACACGUGCUACAAUGGACAAUACAAAGGGCAGCGAAACCGCGAGGUCAAGCAAAUCCCAUAAAGUUGUUCUCAGUUCGGAUUGUAGUCUGCAACUCGACUACAUGAAGCUGGAAUCGCUAGUAAUCGUAGAUCAGCAUGCUACGGUGAAUACGUUCCCGGGUCUUGUACACACCGCCCGUCACACCACGAGAGUUUGUAACACCCGAAGCCGGUGGAGUAACCUUUUAGGAGCUAGC